rnacentral:rRNA from 1 species
AGUGAACGCUGGCGGUAGGCCUAACACAUGCAAGUCGAACGGCAGCACAGUAAGAGCUUGCUCUUACGGGUGGCGAGUGGCGGACGGGUGAGGAAUACAUCGGAAUCUACUUUUUCGUGGGGGAUAACGUAGGGAAACUUACGCUAAUACCGCAUACGACCUACGGGUGAAAGCAGGGGAUCUUCGGACCUUGCGCGAUUGAAUGAGCCGAUGUCGGAUUAGCUAGUUGGCGGGGUAAAGGCCCACCAAGGCGACGAUCCGUAGCUGGUCUGAGAGGAUGAUCAGCCACACUGGAACUGAGACACGGUCCAGACUCCUACGGGAGGCAGCAGUGGGGAAUAUUGGACAAUGGGCGCGAACCUGAUCCAGCCGUACCGCGUGGGUGAAGAAGACCUUCGGGUUGUAAAGCCCUUUUGUUGGGAAAGAAAGGCAGCAGGUUAAUACCCCGCUGUUCUGACGGUACCCAAAGAAUAAGCACCGGCUAACUUCGUG